rnacentral:rRNA from 1 species
AUUGAACGCUAGCGGGAUGCUUUACACAUGCAAGUCGAACGGCAGCGCGGACUUCGGUCUGGCGGCGAGUGGCGAACGGGUGUGUAAUGUAUCGGAACGUGCCCAGUAGCGGGGGAUAACUACGCGAAAGCGUAGCUAAUACCGCAUACGCCCUACGCGGGAAAGCAGGGGAUCGUAAGACCUUGUACUAUUGGAGCGGCCGAUAUCGGAUUUGUUAGUUGGUGGGGUAACGGCUCACCAAGGCGACGAUCCGUAGCUGGUUUGAGAGGACGACCAGCCACACUGGGACUGAAACACGGCCCAGACUCCUGCGGGAGGCAGCAGUGGGGAAUGUUGGACAAUGGGGGCAACCCUGAUCCAGCCAUCCCGCGUGUGCGAUGAAGACCUUCGGGUUGUAAAGAACUUUUGGCAGGAAAGAAACGUCGCGGGCUAAUACCCCGUGGAACUGACGGUACCUGCAGAAUAAGCACCGGCUAACUACGUG